rnacentral:rRNA from 1 species
AUUGAACGCUGGCGGCAGGCCUAACACAUGCAAGUCGAACGGUAACAGGGAUCAGCUUGCUGAUUCGCUGACGAGUGGCGGACGGGUGAGUAAUGUCUGGGAAACUGCCUGAUGGAGGGGGAUAACUACUGGAAACGGUAGCUAAUACCGCAUAACGUCGCAAGACCAAAGAGGGGGACCUUCGGGCCUCUGGCCAUCGGAUGUGCCCAGAUGGGAUUAGCUAGUAGGUGGGGUAACGGCUCACCUAGUCGACGAUCCCUAGGUGGUCUGAGAGGAUGACCAGCCACACUGGAACUGAGACACGGUCAAGACUCCUACGGGAGGCAGCAGUGGGGAAUAUUGCACAAUGGGCGCAAGCCUGAUGCAGCCAUGCCGCGUGUAUGAAGAAGGCCUUCGGGUUGUAAAGUACUUUCAGCGGGGAGGAAGGGAGUAAAGUUAAUACCUUUGCUCAUUGACGUUACCCGCAGAAGAAGCACCGGCUAACUCCGUG